ACAGGCAGCAGAGUCUAACAUGGGAGAUGAGGCUUGCAUGAAUGACCAAAGCUGCUUUAUGUGCUGGGAAAGUUGCUCUAUGCUUUACCUGGAUUAUCAAGUGUGGGGAAUGAUGUGCGACGUUCCAGAUCUCUGUUACGAGGUUGCCAGUGGUCUGCGCUUGUCACGAAGAG